UAUAAAAGGUGUCCCUGCCUCUGGCUCCUCACCCGUCCUGGUUCUUCAGCAGAGAGAUCCUGCCCGUGUCUGUGAUCAGGGUCUACUAAACUCACCCAGACAUGUCCUACCAGCAAAACCAGAAGCAGUACCAGCCCCCUCCCAAAUGCCAGACCCCCAAGUACCCUCCCCAGACUCCAUGCUCUGCUCCUGUGUCUUCUGGCUGGGGCGCCAGCUCUGGAGGAUGGGGUAGCUUGGGAGGAUGUGGUACCUCAGGAGGAUGGGGUAGCUCUGGAGGAUGCAGUAGCUCUGGAGGAUGGGGUAGCCUUGGAGGAUGCGGUACCUCAGGAGGAUGGGGUAGCUCUAGAGGAUGCGGUUCCUCAGGAGGAUGGGGAAGAUUUGGAGGAUGGGGUAACUUUGGCUCUGGAGGUGGCUGCUCUCUCUUUUCUCAUAAUUGGAGAACCCCUAGAUGCAGGGGCCUGAGCCCUGGCAGCUGUGACAGUGGCUGUGGCCGCAGACAGCAGUCUGGGGGCUGUGGUGGUGGCUCUGGGGGCUGUUACUGACCUGCUGCCCUUGGCUGAGGAGUAGAAUUUCAGGAAUCAAGAGACCACUGCCCAGCCUCUUCCAUUCCCAUCCCUCCUCCUAAGCUGCUGAGAUGUCCUUUGGGAACAGAGACACCCCAGGAUUAUCAAUUCAUCUCCUCUCAAAUUCCCCAGAUUUCAGAGUUGAAUCGAACCUUCUCUGCCUCAUUUGUCUAAUGCAACAAUAAAGCUCUAUCUGGUCAAAGA